AUGCAGCGGCACCUAAUGGUGACAGUUGUUAAAGCGGGGGAUCGCAAGACCUCGCGUCUGAAGAGGAGCCUGCGGCGGAUUAGCUAGUUGGUAAGGUAACGGCUUACCAAGGCUUUGAUCCGUAGCCGGCCUGAGAGGGCGGUCGGCCACACUGACACUGACAUACGGGUCAGACUCCUACGGGAGGCAGCAGUCGGGAAUUUUGGGCAAUGGGCGAAAGCCUGACCCAGCAACGCCGCGUGAAGGAUGAAAUCCCUCGGGAUGUAAACUUCGCAAGAACAGGAAGAAUAAGUGGGAGUUAAUAUCUCUUACGAUGACGGUACUGUUUGUAAGCUCCGGCUAACUCCGUGCCAGCAGCCGCGGUAAUACGGGGGGAGCAAGCGUUGUUCGGAUUUACUGGGCGUAAAGGGCGCGUAGGCGGCCACCGCAAGUCGACUGUGAAAUCUCUGGGCUUAACCCAGAACGGUCAGCCGAUACUGCGGGGCUAGAGUGCAGGAGGGGCAACUGGAAUUCUCGGUGUAGCGGUGAAAUGCGUAGAUAUCGAGAGGAACACCUGCGGCGAAGGCGGGUUGCUGGGCUGACACUGACGCUGAGGCGCG
rnacentral:rRNA from 1 species